rnacentral:rRNA from 1 species
GACGAACGCUGGCGGCGCGCCUAACACAUGCAAGUCGAACGAGCGAGAGAGAGCUUGCUUUCUCGAGCGAGUGGCGAACGGGUGAGUAACGCGUGAGGAACCUGCCUCAAAGAGGGGGACAACAGUUGGAAACGACUGCUAAUACCGCAUAAGCCCACGGCUCGGCAUCGAGCAGGGGGAAAAGGAGCAAUCCGCUUUGAGAUGGCCUCGCGUCCGAUUAGCUAGUUGGUGGGGUAACGGCCCACCAAGGCGACGAUCGGUAGCCGGACUGAGGGGUUGAACGGCCACAUUGGGACUGAGACACGGCCCAGACUCCUACGGGAGGCAGCAGUGGGGAAUAUUGCACAAUGGGGGAAACCCUGAUGCAGCGACGCCGCGUGGAGGAAGAAGGUCUUCGGAUUGUAAACUCCUGUUGUUGGGGAAGAUAAUGACGGUACCCAACAAGGAAGUGACGGCUAACUACGUG